rnacentral:tRNA from 1 species
UGGCAUAAAGCUCAGUGGUAAAGUGUGUGCUUAGCACGCACAAGGUCCUAGGUUCAAGCCCCAGUACCUCUG